rnacentral:rRNA from 1 species
UACACACCGCCCGUCACGCCAUGGAAGCUGGGGGGACCUGAAGCCGGUGGGCUAACCGCAAGGGGGCAGCCGUCAAAGGUCAAUUCAGUGACUGGAGCG